UAGGGAAUCUUCGGCAAUGGACGAAAGUCUGACCGAGCAACGCCGCGUGAGUGAAGAAGGUUUUCGGAUCGUAAAACUCUGUUGGUAGAGAAGAGCGUUGGUGAGAGUGGAAAGCUCAUCAAGUGACGGUAACUACCCAGAAAGGGACGGCUAACUACGUGCCAC
rnacentral:rRNA from 1 species